rnacentral:rRNA from 1 species
UACGUAGGGGGCAAGCGUUGUCCGGAUUUAUUGGGCGUAAAGAGCGUGUAGGCGGCCAGAUGAGGUCUGCUGUGAAAACUCGAGGCUCAACCUCGAGAUGUCGGCGGAAACCAUUUGGACUAGAGUACGGAAGAGGCGAGUGGAAUUCCCGGUGUAGCGGUGAAAUGCGCAGAUAUCGGGGAGGAACACCUAUUGCGAAGGCAGCUCGCUGGGACGUCACUGACGCUGAGACGCGAAAGCGUGGGAGCAAACAG